rnacentral:rRNA from 1 species
GACAGAGGAUGCAAGCGUUAUCCGGAAUGAUUGGGCGUAAAGCGUCUGUAGGUGGCUUUUCAAGUCCGCCGUCAAAUCCCAGGGCUCAACUCUGGACAGGCGGUGGAAACUACCAAGCUGGAGUACGGUAGGGGCAGAGGGAAUUUCCGGUGUAGCGGUGAAAUGCGUAGAUAUCGGAAGGAACACCUGUGGCGAAAGCGGCUCACUGGACCAUUACUGACGCUGAGGCACGAAAGCUAGGGGAGCAAACAGG